UACAGAGGGGGCAAGCGUUAUUCGGAAUUAUUGGGCGUAAAGGGCGCGUAGGCGGCUUGGCAAGUGGAUGGUGAAAUCCCUCGGCUUAACCGAGGGACUGCCGUCCAAACUGCUUAGCUUGAGACCGGGAGAGGUGAGUGGAAUUCCCAGUGUAGCGGUGAAAUGCGUAGAUAUCUGGAAGAACACCAGUGGCGAAGGCGGUCAACUGGCCCGUAACUGACGCUGAGGCACGAAAGCGUGGGGAGCGAACAGG
rnacentral:rRNA from 1 species